UACAGAGACUGCAAGCGUUAUUCGGAUUCACUGGGCGUAAAGGGUGCGCAGGCGGCCAAGUGUGUGAGGCGUGAAAGCCCGGGGCUUAACCCCGGAAUUGCACCUCAAACUACAUGGCUAGAGCAUUGGAGAGGGUAGCAGAAUUCACGGUGUAGCAGUGAAAUGCGUAGAUAUCGUGAGGAAUACCAGAGGCGAAGGCGGCUACCUGGACAAUUGCUGACGCUCAGGCACGGAAAGCGUGGGGAGCAAAAGGG
rnacentral:rRNA from 1 species